rnacentral:rRNA from 1 species
UACGUAGGGUGCAAGCGUUGUCCGGAAUUAUUGGGCGUAAAGAGCUCGUAGGCGGUUUGUCGCGUCGGGAGUGAAAACCUCGGGCUUAACUCGGGGCUUGCUUUCGAUACGGGCAGACUGGAGGUAUGCAGGGGAGAACGGAAUUCCUGGUGUAGCGGUGAAAUGCGCAGAUAUCAGGAGGAACACCGGUGGCGAAGGCGGUUCUCUGGGCAUGACCUGACGCUGAGGAGCGAAAGUGUGGGGAGCGAACAGG